CCAAAAAUCAUUCCACAUGAAUCUGCAGAUUUUUUUUUUUUAAUUCUGUGCAGACAAAAAUGUCUGCAGAUUCUGUCUGGCCCUACUAAUAACUCAUUUAAAUCUAAAUCUUUAUUGAUUGAAUGGAGUUAAUAACUAAAACAAUUCAGCUGUAUUUUUGAAUAUAUUUUAACAUAACUAUAAUAUGGUGAUGCAGUGUUUCUCACUGUUAUUUUAUAACACUGAGAUGUUAUUGCAAAGUUAUGUAUUGCACUUUUUCAUCCUUUUGUUUGUUUUCAACAUGUAUUUGCUCUAAACGUGUAUAUACAGUAAAGUGACACAACAAAGUAUAUUUUGUUAUCAUACCUGUAAAGUAAUCUUAGGUCAAUAUAGGGAUAAUACGGUCAUAAAAUAUUAAGCGAUUAGCCCUAACAAGAGAAUCUGAUAUUGGAAAAAGCCUAAUUUUGACUGUUUUUAUUUGCAUUUACAACAUUUUAACUAGUAGGUGUCAGAGCCUGUAGUGUGUACAGCAUUCAGUUUAGUUCAAUUGAUUCAGAGUUUGGGAAAGCUCUGUUCCUUCCAUGUAAAAUGUGGAGCUCUGUUGGUCACCAGGACUGGAGUACUAAAACAGUUACUGCUGUCGAUCCAGUCCAACAGAAGUCAUCUUACAAGAAAAGAAGAAAAAAUUAGGGUAAUUACCAAAUGUUGCAUUCAUUAAUUUGAUUCCAAGUUCAAGAUCUCAUUAAUGUUGUGGUCAGUUAACAAAAACAAAACAUGUACAUUUUAUUCUUAAUCCUCAGAAUUAAGUUCACAUUUCAGAAAUCUGAUUUUCUUUCUCAAAAUCCUCUUUAAAUUUCACAAUUUGUUUUUUCCCCUAAAAAAUAUUCUAUUAUUAUUAUUGCUCUUCUGAGGGGGAAAAUCUGAAUUGAAACAACACAAUUUUACACAAGUUCAGUUGAGUAAAUCUGGAUAUAGUAAAUGCACCAUAAAUUCACUUUAAAUCAGUAAACACACACAAUAACAUGAACUUGUGGUUUUAACUGUGAACAAGCAUGAUGCAUGAUGAAUAUAAAUGAAAAUAAUGAAGUAAAACAUCGACUAGAAACUUACUAGAUACUCACAUACAAGUUGUUUGAGUUUUGCCUGUUUACACAUUCAGCAACAAAGCCUCUUUGGUUAAACGCAUCUGUUUAACAGCAUAAUUUAAAAGAUCAUUUAGCCAAACUGCUAAAACACGUUGCUUUAUACGUCGAAACGCUGCCAUAGAUCACAGAUUUGCUUUCAAAUAUGUUUUAUUCAUUUCUCAGCCCUCUUACCUGCGACUGAACACCACGAGCUCAUGAUCUGAACAACACUGAUUCAUGUCCACAAGAGGGCGCUGACGACCACAUCUUGACUUAUUUGGCACUUGACAUUGAGCUAUUUAAUAACCUACCUAAUAGAUGCAUUAUAAUGUCUUGGUGUCUACAUUUUAAAUUAUACAUAUGUGGAGUGUAAAUGACUUAUCAGACUUUAAAUAAACGAGGCUUUAACGCUGUAACUCGUCCUGUUAGGGACUCUAGUGCAGUUCUCCAUCCGCUCCACCAGGCGGCGCGCACGACUUCCCGUUCAGUCUGACCCAGAGCUUCCGGAUGUUGACAGUGACGUUUGUUUUGGUGCAGCAGCAGCACGAGUGUGCAGUUUUAAACACAUAAACUGAAGAUGACAGCUCAGCGACAGUGUUUUAAUGUCACUUAAACAACAUUUAAUGCAGUCCGACAACUAAAAUAUCCGACACACGCUGAGAUAAAGGACAGGAAUGCAGUGAAAAGCGACUCAUCUAGAAUGAGGGAUGUGUUUGGACCGUACAGUCAACAGAAGCAGAGCUCCGGGACGUUUGGACUACAUUUACUGGCGUGAUGGACGUCUGCUGCGGACAGGAAAAAGCAGCUCAGAAGUGAAGGCGAUGUGAUCAAGGCUAAGCACAGCAGAUCUAAACAUCACACUCUGACAGAUAUUACAGUUAAUAAUUCAGAAUUAUACACAUUUACAGCCUAAAUAUUGCCUGUGCAAGCUCCAGAAACACAGCAGAACAUCAGAGCUUCACAAACUGACUUGUUGACACAUAUUAUGUCUUGUUCUGCUUUAUAAUGAGAGGCUGUUUAACUCUGAGCCUUUACAUAUUAAACAACAACUACCAAUUCAGUUGCUCCUAAAUGUCUGACAGUGACAGAGAGCAGCAUGUAAACAAAGCUGUUUAACAAACAGGAGAGCUCUGCUUAAACAUAUCACUAAAGACACUUCAAUAAGUGCUAAACAUGAACUUAACUGCGACUGAAGUACAAAGAAUAAAGACUUAAUGAGGAAAUGCAGGAGAAAUACUGUACAGUUACUUACAGAUGAGUCGCUUUUCACUGCAUUCCUGUCCUUUAUCUCAGCGUGUGUCGGUUAUUUUAGUUGUCGGACUGCAUUAAAUGUUGUUUAGUGACAUUAAAACACUGUCGCUGA